GAUAUAUUAGUUGUCAGACCUGACACUGUCAGUGUGCCUGCUCACAAACAAACUCCAUUUCCCAGUAUCCUCAGCCCAUGAACUACAAUGACUAGGCUAAACAUGUGACUGCAGCGUUCAGCUUCUCCCUCCUUCUGAUUGCUCAUUUCCCACACCUGUUUGUGUUUGUAUAAAUAUCCCUUUGUUCCCUUGGUUCUCUGCCGAGUAUUAUCUAGUUUUCUAGCUCUGUUACAAUGCGUUUUCCUUGUUUUCUUGCCUUAUUGUUACCGACCCUUUUCUGCUUUUUGUUUACUCUCUUGUUUAACCCUUUUGUCCUGCUGUUGCUCUUCACUUAUUCCUGUACUCCUGACUGUUUUACCGUGUACCGACCCUGCUUCUGGCUCACUACGUUCUGGUAUGUUGUUAUUUAUUGCUGCCUGUUGUUCACUAGUUGUACAUUGUUGUCCCUGGUUCUUUAAAUAUAAUAAAAAAAACUAUGUUUUAUAAUCAGCACUUGUCUCACCUUGUCCUGGCCCUGGGGACAUUAGUCUAGAAAAGCCAAGACACAGUGUGAUGAGAAUGUUAAUUACAGCUAGGUGUGAACAGAAGAUUGUCAAACUAAAAGUAUAUCCAGUCAGAAUCUGCAUUUCAUCAGGGGGCAAAACAACAGGCAGGCCAAUUUAGUGGCAUAACCAAACUGAAUCUUCAUUUUAGCUAAAGAUGGGACAAUAGGCAGUCCAGUUCGGCAGGAGAAACACCAGAAUCACCAUUAAACCAGUUAAAGUGAUGACGCAGAUAUACACACACAGCUUGUCAAGUCCCUGUAAUAGAGAAGCACUACCAAUAGAACACAACUAAAGCAGAUAAUAAACACUAAUCUAUUGGCAUCAUGCCAGACGUGGGCUAGAGGUGUAUAAAGCCCCCAGUAUUGAGCUGUGGAACAGUGAAACUCUGUAACAACUCUGUACAUGGAAGUAACACUCAUCCAGAGAACACAGUUAUCAAAUAGUGUACAGUGUAUCAGAUAUUUCUGUUAACACCGCCUAUAUUAAUAAAAAUAUGUAGACAUUUUGCUCAGAAUUCUGGCAUUUUAUUCCACAACAAGUGAAGCCCUGGUGGGUCGGACUGGAUCUGCGCCGGGUCAGUCAGCAGAACUCUGACUGGCAGCGCCCACACAGAGCGGCCUGGUUAUUACAGACUCUCAGACUGGUCAGCACCAUGUCAGCCACUGAGGGCAGGCAUGAAUCCCGUAUUGUGUAUUGUUUAAGUAUGGUGUGUGUGUGUGUAUAAUAGGAGGAUUGUGCCAGACUCUUUGUAUGAGGGAGGGUAAUACAGCCCUGUCUCACAGUCCGUACCAGAGAGAGAGAGCCCUCCAUAAGAGAACUGAAGGCCCCUCAACCUUAUGUCCACACACACACACACACACACACACAUCACUCCUGCUCAAGGGCAGAUACUGUAAGACAGAGUGCCUUUGUUUCUGUGUUUGAGAGUGUGUGGACAUAGCAACCUCUCUUUUUCUCUCUCUCUUCUCUCUCACAUUCUCUCUUUCUCUCUGUCUCUCUCUCUGUAACUCUCUGUUCUCUUUCUACCUCUUACACCCUUUCACUUAUUCCCUCUCUCUGUCUUCCUCACUCCCUUUUACUUAUUCCCUCUCUCUGUCUUCCUCACUCCCUUUUACUUAUUCCCUCUCUCUGUCUUUCUCUCUGUACCUCUCUCUGUCUCUCUCUUUCUUUCUUUCUCUCACCCUAUCUCUCUCUCUACCUCUCUCUCUUUGUACUUAACUCUUAACUCUGUCUCUUGCUAUCUCUGAAAUGUGUUUAGAUAUGUGCUUACUAUUGGACUUCAGGCGGUUGCUGUGGUGUUACUAUGUGGUUGCAUUUAAGGUGUUUGCUAUGGCAUUGUUAUGUGGUUACAAUUGUAUUUCUUCUGUAUCAUAGGUAGUUGCUAAGGUUUUGCUAUGGUAUUGGUAGGUGCCUGCUACGGUUUUAUUAUUAUUUAUUAUUUUAUUGACAUUGCAGGUAGUUGUUACAGUUUUGCUCUGGGACUCAUAGGGGGUUGCUACGGUUUUGCUUUGGCAUUAGUAGGUGGUUGUUUUGUUUUCACUCAUUCUUCUUAUUGUGUUGCAGUAUGUGAUGUAUAUGUGGUAUAUAGGAUCCUUCUGCGGUAUCUUCUGUGGUACAGGUAGCUUCUAUGGUUGUACAGUGGCAUUGGUGGGUGGUUGCUUUAUUGCAAAAAUCCACAAUCCCAAAUUGUCUGGACUGAAAUGUGGGCAUUAUUACUACAUUAAUAAAUAAGCCGAGUGUUGCCACACCCCUAGCUGAAAUAAAGAUUCUGGUUGGUUCUGUAACUCCAGUUACCCGCGCAGAUGCUAGCAGGUGCACCUACAGAGGAGCCCACUGGUAAUUCCCCUGCUAGUCCCAAUUGCCAGUCUGUCCCUUCUGUGUGUACGUGUAUAUGUGUGUGUGUGUGUGUGUGUGUGUGUGUGUGUGUAUGUGUGUGUAGGCAUAUUCCCACAUAUGAGAAACAGAUCUGGGUUAGUGAAACCAGGCCGAGGCAGAGAUCCAGCGUAGUGAAGAAACAGAGAAAAACAGAACAUCUACAGACAGAUUCAAACUGAGAGAACAGGACAAAAAUGUGUUAAAAAUAAAUAUUUUAGACUAAAGGUGAUAAAACCUCACCACCUAUAACACGUCAGUAUGAGAAAUACAUUUACCUGAAAUUCAAAAAUAAUUUGAAAUGUUGGGUGGUUGCUGUUGUGUCACAUGUAAUUGCUGUGGUGAUGCUAGGAGUGUAUGAUGCUGUUUUAGUGAUGAUGGUUUUGCUAUGGCCUUGGUAGGUGGUUGCCAUGGCGUUCUUAAUGGAUGCCAUAUGAUGUUGCUUACUGGUUGCUGUAGUUAGUCAGGUGGUCGUUGUGGUGACUCAGAGGGUUCCUCGGGUCUUGCCAUGUGGUUGAUGUGGUAACCAAAGCAGUAGUUAAUGGAUGAGUGUUGCAAAAUAUUAGGGUAUUUGCGAUGGUGUUGCACAGGCUAGGAUUUUUGUAAAUUUUCUGCCUGACAUUAAACCACUAAAUCUUGAGAAUUUAUAUUUAAGCAUUACAUAAAAAGCUUUUCUGUUUGAUAAGGAACUUUACUAAAAAGCAUAAUUGUAAUUGUAAUAGAAAAUAAAAUACAAUAUAUUUAAGUAAAUCUGCUAAUGUUAAAAUAUAAUGAAUAAAAUCGUAAAACUAGCUAUUUUCUGAACUUCAUUUUAAAAUUACUAUUUUCCAGAAUACAAAUCAAACAGUUCAUGUCCUCCAAACCUUUAGUUUCAUUGUGUUUGUCUAGUUUUUACAUCUAUUUUCAAGCAUGCAGAAUUUGGGUUGAUUCCUGUUACUGAUCUGAAAUUAUGAAGUGGAGUAGAGAGUAAACAGGCAGUCCUGUAGGAGAUUUCAAAGCCCUCAAAUUUUCAGAAUGUAGUUUUCAGAAGUUAUUUUACCUCAGAAAAUUAGGGUUUUGUAUCACUUACAUCUGUAGCCUGUAUACAGGACAAGUUAUUUUAAUGGGUUAAGGGUGCUAGGGAGAUGCCAAGAAAAGUGGUACUUCUGUGAUACCCGAUGUGAUUGGAUGUUACUAGGGCUUGAAUACUCAUUAUGCAACUAAAUAAAUUACCUUUACAUCAGGUUUAAAUUUUGUAUGAACAGGGUAAAGUGUCUGCUCAUAACAAUAUUUAAUAUUUAAUCAUAGCACAAAAAGUGGUAAAAUGAGAAAUAAAUAAGUUACUUCUGCUCUAGUUUUAGUGAGAAACACUUAAUAUUAAAUCACAGCAGGAUUAUAUCUGAUGCUGUGUGAUUUAUAGUGGGUUUAAAUCGCAGUAUGAUCUGUGCAGCAGUGGGACAGGAGCCAGCAGUGCCGUGACGUGAUCAGGCUGUUGUUCUGAUUGUGCUUAUUAAUUGUAAUUAACUGAGAUUGAAGGUUUCAGUACAGAGUUAUCACACCCCACGACACAACCUGCGAUUUAUCUAAUCCCUCACAUCGCUCUAAACAACAGCUGCUCAGCUGGCAUCACUCCACUGCUCUACUGACGCUGUUACUCAGAGUGACAGCUGAAAGUGUUUAUUACACUAUAUGGACAAAAAUUAUUGGGACAGCUUCUCAUUCAUUCUUUCUUAUUGAAAUCAGGAACUAGCUGUCUGUGUGGAUUUGCACAUCUUAAAGUAACUGAAAGUAGCAUCUAUUACAAGGCAAGUCCACAAUCACUUUAACAAGUAGUGGAAAGUGAUGAGGUGCUCAACCUAACCGUAAGAUCUGAUAGUGGGUGCAGGUGAAUUAUGGGAGUUGGAGUGAGGUCUGAUAGUGGGUGCAGGUGAAUUAUGGGAGUUGGAGUGAGGUCUGAUAGUGCACAGGAAAUUUGGCAGUGUUAAAUCAACAGAAUUAGUGUUGAAUUAACACUGAUAGUGUAAAGUUUAACACUAAUAAGUGUUAAUUUAACACUAACAGUAUUGAUUUAACACUGCCAAAUUUCCUGUGUGGGUGCAGGUGAAUUAUGGGAGUUGUAGUGAGGUCUGAUAGUGGGAACAGGUGAAUUAUGGGAGUUGUAGUGAGGUCUGAUAGUGGGAACAGGUGAAUUAUGGGAGUCGUAGUGAGGUCUGAUAGUGGGAACAGGUGAAUUAUGGGAGUUGGAAUGAGGUCUGAUAGUGGGUGCAGGUGAAUUAUGGGAGUUGGAGUGAGGGCUGAUAGUGGGUGCAGGUGAAUUAUGAGAGUUGGAGUGAGGGCUGAUAGUGGGUGCAGGUGAUUUAUGGGAGUUGGAGUGAGGUCUGAUAGUGGGAGCAGGUGAAUUAUGGGAGUUGUAGUGAGGUCUGAUAGUGAGUGCAGGUGAAUUAUGGUAGUUGGAGUGAGGUCUGAUAGUGGGUGCAGGUGAAUUAUGGGAGUUGGCGUGAGGUCUGAUAGUGGGUGCAGGUGAAUUAUGGGAGUUGUAGUGAGGUCUGAUAGUGAGUGCAGGUGAAUUAUGGGAGUUGGAGUGAGGUCUGAUAGUGGGAGCAGGUGAUUUAUGGGAGUUGGAGUGAGGUCUGAUAGUGGGAGCAGGUGAAUUAUGGGAGUUGGAGUGAGGUCUGAUAGUGGGAGCAGGUGAAUUAUGGGAGUUGAAGUGAGGUCUGAUAGUGGGUGCAGGUGAAUUAUGGGAGUUGGAGUGAGGUCUGAUAGUGGGUGCAGGUGAAUUAUGGGAGUUGGAGUGUGGUCUGAUAGUGGGUGCAGGUGAAUUAUGGGAGUUGGAUUGAGGUCUGAUAGUGGGUGCAGGUGAAUUAUGGGAGUUGGAGUGAGGUCUGAUAGUGGGUGCAGGUGAAUUAUGGGAGUUGGAGUGUGGUCUGAUAGUGGGUGCAGGUGAAUUAUGGGAGUUGGGGGGAGGUCUGAUAGUAGGUGCAGGUGAAUUAUGGGAGUUGGAGUGAGGUCUGAUAGUGGGUGCAGGUGAAUUAUGGGAGUUGGAGUGAGGUCUGAUAGUGGGAGCAGGUGAAUUAUGGGAGUUGGAGUGAGGGCUGAUAGUGGGUGCAGGUGAAUUAUGGGAGUUGGAGUGAGGGCUGAUAGUGGGUGCAGGUGAAUUAUGGGAGUUGGAGUGAGGUCUGAUAGUAGUGGGUGCAGGUGAAUUAUGGGAGUUGGAGUGAGGUCUGGUAGUGGGUGCAGGUGAAUUAUGAGAGUUGGAGUGAGGGCUGAUAGUGGGUGCAGGUGAAUUAUGGGAGUUGGAGUGAGGUCUGAUAGUGGGUGCAGGUGAAUUAUGGGAGUUGGAGUGAGGUCUGAUAGUGGGUGCAGGUGAAUUAUGGGAGUUGGAGUGUGGUCUGAUAGUGGGUGCAGGUGAAUUAUGGGAGUUGGAUUGAGGUCUGAUAGUGGGUGCAGGUGAAUUAUGGGAGUUGGAGUGAGGUCUGAUAGUGGGUGCAGGUGAAUUAUGGGAGUUGGAGUGAGGUCUGAUAGUGGGUGCAGGUGAAUUAUGGGAGUUGGAGUGUGGUCUGAUAGUGGGUGCAGGUGAAUUAUGGGAGUUGGGGGGAGGUCUGAUAGUAGGUGCAGGUGAAUUAUGGGAGUUGGAGUGAGGUCUGAUAGUGGGUGCAGGUGAAUUAUGGGAGUUGGAGUGAGGUCUGAUAGUGGGAGCAGGUGAAUUAUGGGAGUUGGAGUGAGGGCUGAUAGUGGGUGCAGGUGAAUUAUGGGAGUUGGAGUGAGGGCUGAUAGUGGGUGCAGGUGAAUUAUGGGAGUUGGAGUGAGGUCUGAUAGUAGUGGGUGCAGGUGAAUUAUGGGAGUUGGAGUGAGGUCUGGUAGUGGGUGCAGGUGAAUUAUGAGAGUUGGAGUGAGGGCUGAUAGUGGGUGCAGGUGAAUUAUGGGAGUUGGAGUGAGGGCUGAUAGUGGGUGCAGGUGAAUUAUGGGAGUUGGAGUGAGGGCUGAUAGUGGGUGCAGGUGAAUUAUGGGAGUUGGAGUGAGGUCUGAUAGUAGUGGGUGCAGGUGAAUUAUGGGAGUUGGAGUGAGGUCUGGUAGUGGGUGCAGGUGAAUUAUGAGAGUUGGAGUGAGGGCUGAUAGUGGGUGCAGGUGAAUUAUGGGAGUUGGAGUGAGGUCUGAUAGUGGGUGCAAGUGAAUUAUGGGAGUUGGAGUGAGGUCUGAUAGUGGGUGCAGGUGAAUUAUGGGAGUUGGAGUGAGGUCUGAUAGUGGGAGCAGGUGAAUUAUGGGAGUUGGAGUGAGUGCUGAUAGUGGGUGCAGGUGAAUUAUGGGAGUUGGAGUGAGGGCUGAUAGUGGGUGCAGGUGAAUUAUGGGAGUUGGAGUGAGGUCUGAUAGUAGUGGGUGCAGGUGAAUUAUGGGAGUUGAAGUGAGGUCUGAUAGUGGGUGCAGGUGAAUCAUGGGAGUUGGAGUGAGGUCUGAUAGUGGGUGCAGGUGAAUUAUGGGAGUUGGAGUGUGGUCUGAUAGUGGGUGCAGGUGAAUUAUGGGAGUUGAAGUGAGGUCUGAUAGUGGGUGCAGGUGAAUCAUGGGAGUUGGAGUGAGGUCUGAUAGUAGUGGGUGCAGGUGAAUUAUGGGAGUUGGAGUGUGGUCUGAUAGUGGGUGCAGGUGAAUUAUGGGAGUUGAAGUGAGGUCUGAUAGUGGGUGCAGGUGAAUCAUGGGAGUUGGAGUGAGGUCUGAUAGUAGUGGGUGCAGGUGAAUUAUGGGAGUUGGAGUGUGGUCUGAUAGUGGGUGCAGGUGAAUUAUGGGAGUUGGAGUGAGGUCUGAUAGUGGGAGCAGGUGAUUUAUGGGAGUUGGAGUGAGGUCUGAUAGUGGGAGCAGGUGAAUUAUGGGAGUUGGAGUGAGGUCUGAUAGUGGGAGCAGGUGAAUUAUGGGAGUUGAAGUGAGGUCUGAUAGUGGGUGCAGGUGAAUCAUGGGAGUUGGAGUGUGGUCUGAUAGUGGGUGCAGGUGAAUUAUGGGAGUUGGAGUGAGGUCUGAUAGUAGGUGCAGGUGUAUUAUGGGAGUUGGAGUGAGGUCUGAUAGGGGGUGCAGGUGAAUUAUGGGAGUUGGAGUGAGGUCUGAUAGUGCACAGGAAAUUUGGCAGUGUUAAAUCAACAGAAUUAGUGUUAAAUUAACACUGAUAGUGUAAAGUUUAACACUAAUAAGUGUUAAUUUAACACUAACAGUAUUGAUUUAACACUAACAGUAUUGAUUUAACACUAACAGUGUUGAUUUAACAUUGCCAAAUUUCCCGUGUGGGUGCAGGUGAAUUAUGGGAGUUGUAGUGAGGUCUGAUAGUGGGAACAGGUGAAUUAGGGGAGUUGUAGUGAGGUCUGAUAGUGGGAACAGGUGAAUUAUGGGAGUUGGAGUGAGGUCUGAUAGUAGGUGCAGGUGAAUUAUGGGAGUUGGAGUGUGGUCUGAUAGUGGGUGCAGGUGAAUUAUGGGAGUUGGAGUGAGGUCUGAUAGUGGGUGCAGGUGAAUUAUGGGAGUUGGGGUGAGGUCUGAUAGUAGGUGCAGGUGAAUUAUGGGAGUUGGAGUGAGGUCUGAUAGUGAGUGCAGGUGAAUUAUGGGAGUUGGAGUGAGGUCUGAUAGUGGGAGCAGAUGAAUUAUGGGAGUUGGAGUGAGGUCUGAUAGUGGGAGCAGGUGAAUUAUGGGAGUUGUAGUGAGGUCUGAUAGUGGGAACAGGUUAAUUAUGGGAGUUGGAGUGAGGUCUGAUAGUGGGUGCAGGUGAAUCAUGGGAGUUGGAGUGAGGUCUUAUAGUAGGAGCACACAUUCCACAAGUCAGUGCAACGUUCUUUAGCUUCCAUGGGGCAUGCCAAACGCUUUGGGACAUGAUACUAGUUCCUAUAACUUUUGGCAUUUUAGUGGAAUUCUGUGUAGACCUCUAAGGAGAAAUAAAACCUAAGAUAAAUGUAGAAUAUGGGUGUAUUGCUGUAAAAGCCUGAGCGAUGUUGUUUAUUGGUGUUUGAACAGCAGGACAUAAAUCCAGCCUGAGCCUUUAGACACUUCUCUUACAAAAACAUUUCCAACCAAAAUAGCCUGACCUUUAUUUAUAUUCAUGUAUUUCCUGGACACAAUUACACACACUCUCUCUCACGUACACACUCUCCCACAUAAACACACACACUUGUGCACCUAAACCCUCAUUUAUCCAGCCUGUUCAUGUUUUGACUGAAUGUUUAGUUCGUACAGCCACGUCUAAACCGUGCUUGAGGAUAAGUCUCUUAUGGGAAGCAAUUGACUGGACAGUAUAUUUUUCCAGACCUUAUUGUCACGUCCUUGCCUUGUUUCCCUGUUGUUUUCCUUUAACUGUUUUUACCUGUGAUCAUUUGUAGCUCUGCCCCCUCAUUAUCAGUCUCCAGGUGUUACCUGUUCCCUUUCCCGCCUUGGGUGUGUAUUUAAUUUCCUGUGUCUUCAGUGUUAGUUUUUCGGUUCUUUUACGUGUUUGCGUCUGUUUUAGCUGCGUGUCUGUUUCUGUUUGUUCUAGUUUUCUUGUUUAUGGUUUAUUGUUUCCUUGUUUCUUGUAUUUAAUAAAUCCUACUUGCAUGUGCGUCCGCUCUGCACAUCCUUCCUUGCUGCACCGUGACACUUAUUGUGAUAAACUGUAGUAUUUUUCAAUUUUGUAUCACUGAUAUAACAUUAUUUUAAUAGCUUAA